rnacentral:rRNA from 1 species
UACGAAGGGUGCAAGCGUUACUCGGAAUUACUGGGCGUAAAGCGUGCGUAGGUGGUUUGUUAAGUCUGUUGUGAAAGCCCCGGGCUCAACCUGGGAAUGGGCAAUGGAUCUGGCAAGCUAGAGUGCGGUAGAGGGUAGUGGAAUUCCCGGUGUAGCGGUGAAAUGCUAGAGAUCGGGGAGGAACAGCCAGUGGCGAAGGCUGGCUACCUGGACCAGCACUGACACUGAGGCACGAAAGCGUGGGGAGCAAACAGG